rfam:Dipodomys ordii contig_25700, whole genome shotgun sequence.
GGGAAGUUGGCUCAGUGGUAGAGUGCUUGCCUUGCAUGCAUGAGGCCCUGGGUUCGAUUCCUUAGCACCACA